CUUUCCUGCAGCGGUGACAGCAAGCUUAUAUUGUGAUGCCACUAAUACCACCAACUCUGAUGGCAAGAACAGAAAUGUCAAGCUCAGGGCUGUAAGGGACUUCAGGAGGUCAUCUAAUCCAUCCCCUCAGACUGAAGCAGGAUUAAGUAUGCCGAGACCAUCCUUGACAGGUGUUUAUCUAACUU